CUCAAAGGGAGAAAAGAGUAAGAAAUGUGUUUCUUGCCAAGCAACGACAGGUCCGUAAUUCUCUUUGACCCUGCUAACCUUGAAUCGAACGCGACGACGCGUCGCAUAAAUACCAUCGUGUAAAUACAAAAAGGAGAAUGUCCAUAAACAAGAGACGACAAUAAAUAUCUUAUGCCAGCUACACACACACACACACAUAUGUUUUACCUCGAGGAACAUCCAUGGCUAUGCAGUCUAAAAAAUCCGUUGCAUAAUUAUAAUCAGGCUGGGAAAGCAAAUUGGUGCUCCAUUUCUCCUUUGGAGGAUAAGCAUGCAAGCUCCUCGUGGAAUAACUGCAGCAUCUUUUGUAAUUGAUUCCACGGUAGAAGCAAGACGAUCCUCUUCCUUCAAUUCUUUUGGCAUAACACCCUAUAUACCAUUGAAAAUUUAGAAGCAUCACUAUUUGCAAUUACGUCAUAAUAUAUUUUGGGAUCCUCGUUUGGUGGAAACGGUGGAUUGAUGUUAUAAAC
rnacentral:lncRNA from 1 species